GAUGAACGCUGGCGGCGUGCUUAACACAUGCAAGUCGAACGAGAAGUGGAGACGGACACCUUCCGGCGGAAGGCUGUAUUUGGAGUGGCGGACGGGUGAGUAACGCGUGGGUAACCUGCCUCAUACAGGGGGAUAACAGUUGGAAACGACUGUUAAUACCGCAUAAGACCACAGCACCGCAUGGUGCGGUGGUGAAAACUCCGGUGGUAUGAGAUGGACCGGCGUUCGAUUAGCAAGUUGGGGUGGUAACGGCCCACCAAAGCGACAAUCGCUAGCCGAGCUGAGAGGCAGAGCCGAGACACCUGGACUGAGACACAGCCCGGAAUCUUACGGGAUGCAGGAGAGGGGAAUAUAGCACAGUGGGGGAAAGCCUGAUGCAGCGACGCCGGGUGAGUGAUGAUGUAUGGAGGGAAGUAAAGCUCUAUCAGCAGGGAAGAAAAUGACGGUACCUGAGGAAGAAGCCCCGGCUAACUACGUG
rnacentral:rRNA from 1 species